ensembl:lncRNA
AUAUAUAUAUAUAUAUAUACAUAUAUAUAUAUAUAUAUAUAUAUAUAUAUAUAUAAAAAUAAAUGCUAUAACAAUUUUAAUUAGCAACAAAUUCUCCACUGGCAUCACUGUCUGUUAAAUGCUACUAGCCACGGUCCCUUUAUGGAACACGAUAAGGUAGGUUAAUGUAAAAAGUAUACAUUACUCUUCACUUAAUUUGUUCAAUAAAUACAAUCCAACAUCAGAGUAAUUUUGCCGAACUACUUUUUCAUAUUUCUCAGUGUAAACACAUUAAUCAGUUAUGUACUCAUAGUCUACAAUAGAACAUACAUAUGCGAUUUGAGACACAACAUAUACCUUGCAUUUCAGCUAUAGUGCACCUUUAUCAUCUAGCAACCAAAGAAUCUUGCUUGCAGCAAUGUCUGCUUAUACGAGGUUUGUAGUGGCUAUUUGAUGCAGUUAUGAAAUUAUUCAAAUCACUGCUGAGUGAUGCUUUAUUUGCAGCUUUUCUUUUUUUUUUUUAAAUCCCAACAACUGAAGAACCAAAGAGUGAGCAUUAUACUCACCAAGAUGUUGUGUACUGUAUUGAUGAUAAAUAAAUAACGCAAGACAGACAUUCAUUUGGUUUACUCUGUUUUAAUAAAUAAAUACAAAAAUAAAUUAAUCUCAUUGAGACAGAGUCAUUGUUUUAAUAAGGGUCAAUGGGACUCUAGACAUAGCCAGAUGUCAUUCUACCCCGGUCGGUAAACUGGAGACCCGAGACAAUGAGAAUGAAAAAGAAAAAGUGAGGAGUGAGUGAAGAAUGGUCAUCAUGAUGUGUACGUCUAUCUCCUUUUCUAAAGGUGUAGUCGAACAUUUAGAGCAGGCCUGCAGUCAGGAAGUGUCAGUGAGUAAGUGCAGUACAGGUUUGUGCUUUACAACCCUCUGCUAUACACACUCGAACAAUGAUCAUUAAAGGAGUAGUGCAGCAAAAAAUCGAAUGUACACAAUUGCAUUAUCUAAACCGUCAUCGAUGCUUCUUUAGGUUUUCACUGGCCCUAAUAUCCUAAACCUUCUAUGUAAUCUUCUUAGAAUUGUUUUAAAAUAAAGAAAUUUAUACAAUUCAAAGUGGAACUAUAUUAUUAUCCACAUAAUUACUAGCUUUCCAAUACAUCAUUUCGUUUUUAAGCUAAGACACCGUGAGCCCACGCUGUAGCAACAAAUAAAGAUGAUUCUGCUUGGCCAAAAAUGUCUGCCCCCAUACGAUGCCAAACAUUCAGCUACACAGCAGCGUUUUAUUCAUGUUUAUAGAUUAUAGUGAUCAUACUGCAUCAGCAAAAAAACUGCAUGUGGUUUGAGGAAGAUAGUCACAUAUAAGAUUUAGGGUGAGACAAACUUGCAUUACUUCUUAGCUACAUUAGCCUCAGUGCAAAACUAUAAAAGCAAAUGUCAAGAUAUGGGAAAUUGUGUGUAUUGGAUUUUUUCCCCUAACCAUUCCUUUAGGAGUUAGAUCUUUACAUUUUACAGUCUGAAGAACUAUAUGAAAACAAUAAUGAUAAAUUCUACACGUGAACUUCAAACCUCUUUUUUUUUUUUGUGAGGCAUCAAUUUAUGCAUUGACCUUCAAUAAAUCAUUCUGAAACUCUUUCGCUAUAGACAUUUCAUUUGGUCUGAAACACUUCGUGGCUAAAGGCUAUAGUCACACUGAAGAUCUGUGAAGACUAAACAAAGAGGUCUAUGAUAGCAGAAUAAUUUUAUCUAUGGUUUAUCCUGAUCACAGUACAUGAAAAGUCAACUGAUGGAUUCGAACUUUUUUUUUAAAUGCACCGUAUACAUUAAAGAUACGCUGCACUACAAUUCUUUAUCAUUAGCUCAGAUCAUUCUAUGUAGGCUGAAGCUUGGCCAGCUUAUCUGUCGUUUAUAGGAGAGGCCGUCAACAUGUCACAUAUUGUCACCUACCAUAUGUUUUUUGACUGGUUGAUGAAACAGUACCGUAUAUUCAGGACUAUAAGUCACACACAAACACACCCUUCAUUUUGUCUUCUUAGUUAAGUUGCUGUUUGCAUAAAAUUAAGCCACCAUUUUUACACAAUAGUAGUGGCUGGUGUACAGUUAACGUUUCAACUACAGUUGAAAGUUAUAUUUAUCAGAGCUGCUGAGAAUUGAGAUCAACUCUUUUUUUGUUUACAAGUGAUAAAAUUAUUGUGAUCGAUCAUUUGGCUGUAAUUAUUGCAUUUGUGCAUUAUAAAAAUAAGCAGACAUUACAUUUGAACAGCAGUGCACCUAUCACUGACAUAUUUUCUACUAAAUAUUCAGUUUAACAUUGAACCAUCGGGUAUUUAGGGUUCUAUUAUUUUGUUAAGUUAUACAGUAGUAAGCAUGUCUGCUGCUAUUGAUAUGUGACGUGGACAGCAGAAAACAAACUGAAGCAGCAGUAUGAAAGAAAUUAUGAAUUUAGAAUUGUACUGCCGUCCACAGCCGCAUCUCAUAUAUA